UGUGGUUUUGAACUUGUGAACAGAUUUACAGAGAACCGCAAAAAAUAUAUCCUCUUUUAUAACCCACAACUCAUUGAUCACUAUUUUCUUGCCACAGUGACAUUCCCCAGUAUGAGUUUUGAAACAUACAAGAAGGAAUAGG
ensembl:snoRNA